GGCUUUAUAUUCAUAUAAUGAUAAUAGAAUGCAAUUCUGUAGGAGUAGAAAUGUUAAUUAAACUACUAAGGCUU
rnacentral:tRNA from 1 species